ACAGAAAUAGAGAGUUGAAAAAAAAAAAACAAAGCAAAGCAAAAUGAAGGGUCCAAGACAAUAAUUGGGAGCAUUCCUUGGGGUUUGAUAAUGGAUUUUAUGGGUUAGCUUAAGUUAAAAGCAAAAGAUGUGAGCGGGUACCUUCCUUCCUUCUGACAUUAUCUCCCACCUUAUCAACAGUCCAUUGUUACCAAGGCAUUAACAACACUUACCAAAGUCUAGAAGCCCUUUGGGCAGUCUUGCUAAAAACCAUAUUAGUCUAGACUGAUUUGGCCUUGAAGAUGACCACAUCUCCUCAGGACAGUUCUCCCUGGAUUCCUUCAUUGGCUGUUUUGGGAAAUGACGCACUUGGACAAAUGGUCUACCUAAAUGAAUGAUUCAGGUCUGAGCAGCAUGAGACACUGGCAGAUAGGAAUGCCUCCCUUAGCAGCAGAAAAUUCAGCACUUACCACGUCCCAUGCGGCAUGCUCUCCCAGAAUACUUUUAAUAUGAUAUCCCAGUGUAUUUAACAUUUUAAAAUUACUCCAUUUGGUUAAAAUCAAUUAGAUUUUUUUGAGGAUCUUGGUCUUUCUCCAGCCCAGUUUAAACCAUAAUUUCCUGAAGACUAGGAUUAUCUCGCCAUGUUCUUUUUCACGUCCCCGUCGUUUCUAGUCAAGCCUCAAAACAUGAAGUCUGCACUGUGGGUUCAUAGCACCUCAGAGAUCAUCUCGAUUCUCCCCAUCCCACAGUGGGAAAGUGACCUCAGUCAACGUGGAGUAGAGUGUUUAGUCUCAGCCUUAAAAUAAGUGUUUUCUUUUUUAUUGUCUUUUCUUCCUGUCUGCUUUUCAGAGUAGAAGCAACAGUAAUUUAAAUUUUUCUGCUAUGUGACCUACACUCCACAGGUACCUUAUAAUAGCUGAGCCAGGGCUUAACAAAGGAAUUGGGUGUGUGUGGUAUUUGUGUGAGCAUGUGCUUGGGUUUGUGUGGUAUUUGUGUGAGCAUGUGCUUGUGUGUGUAUGUGUGUGUGUGUGUGUGUGUUUCACAAUCUGAUUGCCGAUGUGGGAUGGAAGAUGGGAAAGAAUGUUUAGGCACUUGUGUAUUUAUAUCAAAGAGAUGGUAGGACCCACAAAAAAGAAUUCAUUUUUUGUGAUGUUAAUGUUAUAUUUUGGGGGGAGGUUUUGGGGGAGGAAGAUUUGCUUCUAACGGGUGGACUCAUAUCUCUGUGUGGGGAGGCUCAGUUUUAACGACAACUGAAGUCUCUCCUGGCGUUGGGAUAUUUCAUUCUCGUAGGGAGAAAUGCAAUGCUCAUCCCUCCUCCCUCACACCCCCCCCACCACUUCCUUGGUGCCCUUCCAAGUUAGGGCCCUUGGUGCUGGCUGCUCAGUCCUCCCCCAGGGGUGGCUUUCCAAGGCCAAGAGGGCCAGAGAGGGCUGCUGCCAGAGAUGCUUCUGUUCUGGCUCCUUCUUACUCCCCUUCCUGUCUGCUGGGGCUUUUGGUGGCAGCACCUAGUCCUGAUGGGGUUAGAGUACCACCCUGGAGUGGAUGGUGUGUGCACCAGCAAGCAUCCAGUCAAUUCAUGAGUUAUCCUCUGCGUGAGCUGGGCUGUGAUGUGCCGUUAUCUUCCUGCUCCCAUUGUACACUUCACACACCAGCUUUCUCUCCAGACAGUUGUUUGAUCACUAACUACUUCGAAUAUCAUGACCAUAGGCUCAUUUAUUUUUUUCUGUUUUAAAGGAUGGUGCUGGUGUGCACAGGGAGCAGCCACGUCAAUUCACACAUUUGCCAAGGACAAUGAGAAUACAGUUUCCUCCGAAAAAAUCUUAGGCUGAUCUUGGAAGAAAGACCCCCUGGAUCAUCUAAAAAUAAAGUUUUCUAUUUAAAGAUGAAAAAACGGAAGCAAAACCAUUAAGUGUCUUCCCCAAGGUCUUAAAAGAAGUCACCAAGAAGGUGGUGUGGCUCAAGUCUCCUGACUCCAGUUUACUAUUCCCCACAAUAAUGUUGGAAAGCCACAUUGGAACGGGAAGACUCAUUCCAAGUACUGCUGUCACACCAGCAAGCUUCAAAGGUCAGGCAGAUAUUUUACUUUACGGUUAAAUUGGCCACGUUUGCUCAGUGUGUACUAUAUCCCAGGCCCUGUGCUUUGCCCUGGGAGGAUUCAGAGAAAGUAAAAGAUGGAUUAGACUUUCCUGGCUCUUACAAGCUGGUGGGAAUGGGAGACACAUACAUACAAACAUGGAAGGGCAAGGGGGACAGUGCA